CGACGUGAACAACCUGACCCAAAGAGGGGGAGUAACAUUUGGAAACAGAUGCUAAUACCGCAUAAGACCACAACGUCACAUGGCGAAGGGGGUCAAAGGAGCAAUCCGCUUUGGGAGGGGUUCGCGUCCCAUUAGGUAGUAGGCGGGGUAACAGCCCACCUAGCCAACGAUGGUAGCCGAGCUGAGAGGCUGAUCGGCCACACUGGAACUGAGACACGGUCCAGACUCCUACGGGAGGCAGCAGUGGGGAAUAUUGGGCAAUGGGCGCAAGCCUAGACCCAGCAACGCCGCGUGAGGGAAGAAGGUUUUCGGAUUGUAAACCUCUGUCGCAGAAGACGAAGGAAGUGACGGUAUUCUGUGAGGAAGCCCCGGCUAACUACGUGCCAGCCGCCGC
rnacentral:rRNA from 1 species